AAACAUGAUGAUAUUGUUGCCCCAGUCUUACACACAUUUAUAGGUGUGUUAUGGUGAUUGACACCUAGAUCUAAUUU